AUCAGAUGUACAUGUCGUAACAGCCCUAAUAAUUUUACUUUAUUUAAACAGACAGCUGUAUUGAACGAGAGAUAUGGAAGCAGAAACAUGGAGUUCUGUCAAUUUCUCUUUGUGCAAGCUGUCAAACAGUGCUCAGUCUCUAGCAAUGACAUAUGUUAACUGUGGUCCAAAUGCAGGCAACAUGGAUACAAAAAUGCCUGAGAUGUGAAGUUGAAACUCAGACACCGGUCUCUAGUGACACUGAUCACAUCCCUUUGGAGCUUAGUUCAUCCUUUGGCUAUUCUGUGAAGCUUUUCUUUUCCAUCUAGCCUGAAUUUUCAUGUACCAGAUCCAUUAUUUGGAAGUGAGACUUUGGCCAGAGGGGCUGACCUGGUAAACUGAUUUUUUUUUUCUUUCUCAGAAGAAACAGUGAGCCAGGAUGCAUUUUGCCAAAUCUUUGGGGCAGGGAUUGUGCUUUAGUUAGCUGAUAUUUCAUUUUACUUUUUCUUUUAAGUUCCUGAGGGAUGGACACUA
rnacentral:lncRNA from 1 species